rnacentral:rRNA from 1 species
AUACGUAGGGGGCGAGCGUUGUCCGGAAUUACUGGGCGUAAAGGGUGCGUAGGCGGCUACUUAAGUCAGAUGUGAAAUACCACGGCUCAACUGUGGGGGUGCAUUUGAAACUGGGUGGCUUGAGUGCAGGAGAGGAAAGUGGAAUUCCUAGUGUAGCGGUGAAAUGCGUAGAGAUUAGGAGGAACACCAGUGGCGAAGGCGGCUUUCUGGACUGUAACUGACGCUGAGGCCCGAAAGCGUGGGGAGCGAACAGGAUUAGAUACCCUGGUAGUCCACGCUGUAAACGAUGGAUACUAGGUGUAGGGGGUAUCGACCCCCUCUGUGCCGGAGUUAACGCAAUAAGUAUCCCGCCUGGGGAGUACGGCCGCAAGGCUGAA